AGGACGAACGCUGGCGGCGCGCUUAAUACAUGCAAGUCGAACGUGAAACCGGGCUUGCCCGGUGAAAAGUGGCGAACGGGUGAGGAACACGUGAGAAACCUGCCCUGGACUUCGGAAUAACCAAGGGAAACUUUGGCUAAUACCGGAUGCCCUCAAUUGGUCGCAUGGCCGAUUGAGGAAAGAUUUAUCGGUCCAGGAUGGUCUCGCGGCCUAUCAGCUUGUUGGUGGGGUAACGGCCUACCAAGGCUCCGACGGGUAGCUGGUCUGAGAGGAUGUCCAGCCACACUGGGACUGAGACACGGCCCAGACUCCUACGGGAGGCAGCAGUAGGGAAUCUUGCACAAUGGGCGAAAGCCUGAUGCAGCGACGCCGCGUGUGGGAUGACAGCCCUUGGGUCGUAAACCACUUUCAGCAGGGACGAAUUGACGGUACCUGCAGAAGAAGCGCCGGCCAACUACGUGCCAGCGGCCGC
rnacentral:rRNA from 1 species